AAGGAGAGAAGAGAGAGAGUGACAGAUGCAGUUGUUUUAAGCUCUUAGGAGUCUUCCCCAUGACAUGGGAAGAGGGAAGCUGUUUCAGGAGCACUGGCUUCUCCCCUGGACAAGGAGCUUGUAUAACUGAGAAAUCCAUGGUGAUCCACAACUUAGUGGGAUCAGAGCAUGGCCAAGAGUGACUUCAUGGACAUGCAGUGCUUGGGAUGGGGAGGAACUGUUCACAAGAGAAAUGGAGUGACAGGACAAGGGGGGAAUGGUUUCAAACUCACAGAGGGCAGGGUUGUGUGGGAUAUUGGGGUGGAAUUUUUCCCUCUGAGGGUGGGGAGGCCCUGGCACAGGUUGCCCAGAGAAGCUGU